ensembl:lncRNA
CUGAUUAGAGAUCUUCUCAGGUCAACAUUUCUGUAUUAUUAAUUCUUUAUUCUAAUAAUUUGGGAUACUGGAUUUUUAAUUUUACAUGUGCUGUAAGCCGUAAUCAAGAUUAAAACAAAAACAAAGGCUUGAAAUAUUUAAAUUUGUGUAAUGAAUCUAGAAUAUAUGAAAGUUCCAUUAAAAAAAAAAUUAAAUUACAGAAAAAAAAACCCCCAAACAUUUCCACAAUAUUCUCAUUUAUAAUGAUUGUCAUCUAGUGACACAUUUCAUUAAGUCAAGUAUAUACAGGUGCAUCUCAAAAAAUUAGAUCACUAUAGGGUGGCAGAUAGGUGCUGCAUGUCCCAUUGCUGCUUCACAGCCCCAGGAUUUCUGGUUUGGUCCUAUGCUCAAGUUACUGUGUGGCAUUUCACGUUCUCCCUUUGCCUGCAUGGGUUUCUUCCCACCCCCCCAAAAACCAUGCCAGUAGGCUAAUUGGUUAUUCCAACCGAGGUGUGUUCCCUGACCAGGAUAAAGCAGUUACAGAUGACGAAUGUAGGAAUCUCAAUAUAAAUAACAAAAUGCUGCAUAUAAGUAACCUGAACAGUUGUGACUAUACCAUAGUUGUUGCAUAAGAAUAACUAACUGUACAUACAUUACAAUGAGUCAUAGCUCAGGUCCUUUUGAGCUGAAGCUAUAGAAGUUGUGGUAAGAAAAGCAAAAGGUUUAAGCAAUAACGAAACAUUAAUUUAAACUAGAAAAACUGUAUAAUAAUAAACAAAAACAUCAGUAAAAGUUCAGACACAAAGGGUGUGAAUCUUUUCAGUUUAAUCAGACAAACAACCCGACCAAAGAAACUACAAAAUGACUUCGCGUUGUAUGCACGUUGCUAUACUUCUGUGGAGACAGUAGCAUGAAAAUUUUAACUUCCAUCACAAUUUAAAUAAACCUCAACAGAAAACAUUCAGAAAUAACACUCCUCUAGACAUCUAAUGAAAUCCUCACUCUACAAUUCCAGUGAAAACCAUAACUUAAAUGACAGAAAAAGAAAAGAAAAGAAAAAAAAAAAAUCAGCUUUUAAUUCAACUGAAGGCUGCUUCAUAGAAUUACUUAAUUUGUUUUUAGACUUAUGUUUGGUCAUGGUGGCAAGUUCUACAUGGCUCCACUUAUUAGGAUUUCAAAUUUCACAUUGCGAAACAGAACUUGGAAGUAGAAAAAGGCAAAAACUGUACAAUUUCUUACUAUUAAAUACAAUCACUCUGUACCAAUAAUGACAAACAUCCCACAGGUAAGUUUUUCAGAGUACAUUUAAACAAACAGCAGCUUAAAAUCUAGAUAUAAAAUGCCAAAAUUUGCAACGUUAAUCCCAAUUCGCCAACAAUAGGUCUUUUUUUUUUUGCUAGCAAUCUACUGUUGAAAUAAAAGCUACUGAAAACAGGGUGCCAAAUUUUCAAAAGAGGGCAAUUUGAGAUUAUA